rnacentral:rRNA from 1 species
AACGAACGCUGGCGGCGUGCCUAACACAUGCAAGUCGAACGAGAAAAGCGGGGCAACGUCGCUGAGUAAAGUGGCGCACGGGUCAAUAACACGUGGAUAAUCUGCCUUCAGGUAAGGGACAAACCUGUCGAAAGACGGGCUAAUACCUUAUAAGACCACGAAAUCUCCGGAUUUUGAGAGAAAAGGUAGGCCACUACCUGUAAGCUAUCGCCUCGAAGAUGAGUCCGCGCACCAUUAGCUAGUUGGCGGGGUAACGGCCCACCAAGGCUAAGAUGGUUAGCUGGUCUGAGAGGACGACCAGCGACACUGGAACUGAGACACGGCCCAGACUCCUACGGGAGGCAGCAGUGGGAAUCUUGCGCAAUGGGCGAAAGCCUGACGCAGCGACGCCGCGUGAGGGAUGACGGCCU